AGCUUCGCGCCCUGUCAGUGUCGUAGCCAAUGAGGUUUAUCCGAGGCGUGAUUAUUGCUAACGGAAUACUUUCCCCCAUACUCUGCCAUGACAAUUUGACAUAUAGUCAGCAUUGGUAGUUUUUGACAAUCUCUAUGGAGA